UAGUGUGUGUGUGUGUGUGUGUGUGUGUAGUGUGUGUGUGUGUGUGUGUGUGUGUGUGUGUGUGUGUGUGUUGGUGUGUGUGUGUUGGUGUGUGAGAGCAUGUGCACAUUUUGGUAUCUUCAUGAGGACCUCAGUAGCAUAGUGAUAUGUCAUAACUCUGUUUGUGAGGACACUGUGAUGAGUUUAGAUUAGAAUUACGUUUAGAGUUAGGGUUAAAAUUAGAGUUGAGUUUAGUAUUAAAUUUAGAGUUAGGGUUAAGAUUAAUGUUCAGAUUAGAGUUAGCGUUAAGUUUAAGGUUAAAAUUAGGUUUAAGGUUAAGAUUAUGGUUAAGAUUAGAGUUAAGUUUAGAGUUAGGGUUAAGAUUAGAGUUAAGUUUAGAGUUAGGGUUAAGGUUAGGUUUAAGAUUGAGGUUAAGAUUAGAGUUAAGUUUAGAGUUAGGGUUAAGGUUAGGUUUAAGUUUGGGGUUAAGAUUAGAGUUAAGUUUAGAGUUAGGACUAAAAUUAGGGUUAAAUUUAGGGUUAAGAUUAGGGUUAAGAUUAGAGUUAGGGUUAAGAUAAGGGUUACGUUUAGAGUUAGGGCUAAAAUUAGGGUUAAGAUUAGGGGUAAGUUUAAAAUUAGGGUUAAGAUUAGGAUUAAGUUUAGAGUUAGGGUUAAGAUUAGGGUUAAGUUUAGAGUUAGGGCUAAGAUAAGGGUUAUGUUUAGAGUUAGGGAUAAAAUUAGGGUUAAGAUUAGGGGUAAGUUUAAAGUUAGGGUUAAGUUUAGAGUUAGGGUUAAGAUUAUGGUUAAGAUUAGAGUUAAGUUUAGAGUUAGGGUUAAGAUUAGAGUUAAGUUUAGAGUUAGGGUUAAGGUUAGGUUUAAGAUUGGGGUUAAGAUUAGAGUUAAGUUUAGAGUUAGGGUUAAGGUUAGGUUUAAGUUUGGGGUUAAGAUUAGAGUUAAGUUUAGAGUUAGGGUUAAGGUUAAGUUUAGAGUUAGGGUAAAGAUUAGAGUUAAGUUUAGAGUUAGGUUUAAGGUUGGGGUUAAGAUUAAGGUUAUUGGUAGGUGUAGUGUAAAUUAGCUACAGUUGUUGUGUGAAUGGAUGGUCCUCACAAGAAUAGCAAAACCAACGUGUGUGUGUGUGUGUGUGUGUGUUUCUAUAAAAGUGUAUUUCCCUUAUGAUGUAAAAUACCAUCUGAGUGUUUAUAAUAUUUUAAUACUUCAAAUCAAGUUUUAAUAAAAUAUUAUGUGUACAGAC